rnacentral:rRNA from 1 species
GACAGAGGGUGCGAACGUUGUUCGGAAUUACUGGGCGUAAAGCGCGUGUAGGCGGCAGCGCAAGUCGGGCGUGAAAUCCCACGGCUCAACCGUGGAAGUGCACUCGAAACUGCGCAGCUAGAGUCCUGGAGAGGAGAGUGGAAUUCCCGGUGUAGCGGUGAAAUGCGCAGAUAUCGGGAAGAACACCCGUGGCGAAGGCGGCUCUCUGGGACGGUACUGACGCUGAGACGCGAAAGCGUGGGGAGCGAACAGG